UCGGGUUGAGUGGCGGACGGGUGAGUAACGCGUGAGAAUCUGCCUUGGGGUCGGGGACAACCACUGGAAACGGUGGCUAAUACCGGAUAAGCCUUUGGGUAAAAAAUUUAUUGCCCCAAGAGGAGCUCGCGUCUGAUUAGCUAGUUGGUGAGGUAAAAGCUCACCAAGGCAGCGAUCAGUAGCUGGUCUGAGAGGACGAUCAGCCACACUGGGACUGAGACACGGCCCAGACUCCUACGGGAGGCAGCAGUGGGGAAUUUUCCGCAAUGGGCGAAAGCCUGACGGAGCAAGACCGCGUGAGGGAGGAAGGCUCUUGGGUUGUAAACCUCUUUUCUCAGGGAAGAAGCUCUGACGGUACCUGAGGAAUCAGCCUCGGCUAACUCCGUGCCAGCAGCCGCGGUAAUACGGAGGAGGCAAGCGUUAUCCGGAAUUAUUGGGCGUAAAGCGUCCGCAGGUGGCGAUUCAAGUCUGCUGUCAAAGCACGGGGCUUAACUCCGUUAAGGCAGUGGAAACUGGAUAGCUAGAGUGCCGUAGGGGUAGAGGGAAUUCCCGGUGUAGCGGUGAAAUGCGUAGAGAUCGGGAAGAACAUCGGUGGCGAAAGCGCUCUACUGGACGGCAACUGACACUCAGGGACGAAAGCUAGGGGAGCGAAUGGGAUUAGAUACCCCAGUAGUCCUAGCUGUAAACGAUGGAUACUAGGUGUAGCUUGUAUCGACCCGAGCUGUGCCGAAGCUAACGCGUUAAGUAUCCCGCCUGGGGAGUACGCACGCAAGUGUGAAAC
rnacentral:rRNA from 1 species